rnacentral:rRNA from 1 species
GGGAAAGCGAGCGGCGGAUGGGUGAGUAACACGUGGGGAACCUGCCCCUAAGUCUGGGAUACCAUUUGGAAACAGGUGCUAAUACCGGAUAAUAAAGCAGAUCGCAUGAUCAGCUUUUGAAAGGCGGCGUAAGCUGUCGCUAAGGGAUGGCCCCGCGGUGCAUUAGCUAGUUGGUAAGGUAACGGCUUACCAAGGCGACGAUGCAUAGCCGAGUUGAGAGACUGAUCGGCCACAUUGGGACUGAGACACGGCCCAAACUCCUACGGGAGGCAGCAGUAGGGAAUCUUCCACAAUGGACGCAAGUCUGAUGGAGCAACGCCGCGUGAGUGAAGAAGGUUUUCGGAUCGUAAAGCUCUGUUGUUGGUGAAGAAGGAUAGAGGUAGUAACUGGCCUUUAUUUGACGGUAAUCAACCAGAAAGUCACGGCUAACUACGUGCCAGCAGCCGCGGUAAUACGUAGGUGGCAAGCGUUGUCCGGAUUUAUUGGGCGUAAAGCGAGCGCAGGCGGAAAAAUAAGUCUAAUGUGAAAGCCCUCGGCUUAACCGAGGAACUGCAUCGGAAACUGUUUUUCUUGAGUGCAGAAGAGGAGAGUGGAACUCCAUGUGUAGCGGUGGAAUGCGUAGAUAUAUGGAAGAACACCAGUGGCGAAGGCGGCUCUCUGGUCUGCAACUGACGCUGAGGCUCGAAAGCAUGGGUAGCGAACAGGAUUAGAUACCCUGGUAGUCCAUGCCGUAAACGAUGAGUGCUAAGUGUUGGGAGGUUUCCGCCUCUCAGUGCUGCAGCUAACGCAUUAAGCACUCCGCCUGGGGAGUACGACCGCAAGGUUGAAACUCAAAGGAAUUGACGGGGGCCCGCACAAGCGGUGGGAGCAUGUGGGUUUAAUUCGAAGCACCCCGAAGAACCUU